ensembl:snRNA U1 U1 spliceosomal RNA
AUACUUACCUGGCAGGGGAGACACUAUGACCAAGAAGGUGGUUUCCUAGGGUGAGGCUUAUCCAUUGCACGUGGGCUCUGCUGACCCCUGUGAUUUCCCCAAAUGCGAGAAACUCAACUGCAUAAUUUGUGGUAGUAGGGGACUGCAUUCGAUCUCUCCCCUA